AUUGAACGCUGGCGGCAGGCCUAACACAUGCAAGUCGAACGAGUGGCGGACGGGUGAGUAAUGUCUGGGAAACUGCCUGAUGGAGGGGGAUAAAUACUGGAAACGGUAGCUAAUAGCGCCUACCAUCAGAUGUGCACAGAUGGGAUUAGUUAGUAGGUGUGGUAAUGGCUCACCUAGGCGACGAUCCCUAGCGGGUCUGAGAGGAUGACCAGCCACACUGAAACUGUGACACGGUCCGGACUCCUACGCAAGCCACCAGUGGGGAUUAUCAGCCAAUGGGCUCAAUCCUGAUACACCCAUGCCGUGUGUGUGAAGAAGGCCUUCGGGUUAUAAAGCCCUUUCAGCGUCGAGACCUUACUCCCAGAAGAAGCCCCGGCUAACUCCGCGCCCGCAGCCGCGGUAAUUC
rnacentral:rRNA from 1 species